rnacentral:misc_RNA from 1 species
UUCAGCUUACACUUGCUUACUGCU